GUAAUACUCACAUAACAAUGAUUACCCUGAGAUUUGUCGAUACUAUAAGGCGAUAUAUGAGAUUCCAUCAGUGAAGGGCAACCCAGAGCAGUGGAUGCCGGUUCUAAGGAAAAUCCGCCGGUACUUAAUUCUAUCACCACAUGAUCCUAUGCAGUCAAGCCUUCUUAAUGCCACUUUAGAGGAUAAACAUCUCUCAGAAAUUCCCCAAUUCAGGUUGCUGCUGAAAUAAUUGGUCACGGCGGAGGUUAUCCCAGGGCCUUCUCUUUAAAGUACUUUCAAAGAUGAAUUUGCCAAUGAGAAAACAUGCUAGGAGGUGCACUUGUUGAGAAGGCAGCAGAAAAUCUUAGACAGGGCCGAAUCAUAGUCAAAAGAAGAAUUUUGGCUUCACCUGGGCGAGACAAGCUACCUUUAGCUGGGAGCCUCUUCAGAGAAUCAUUGAACAUGUAAUUACAGAACUUUGUCGUUUUUCUUCUUUUCAUUGGAUCAUCAUUCAGAUGGGACUC